UAAUAUAAAUUCUUGGUAUCUCUUCCUUCUGAACAGAUUUAAUUUAACGUUAUAAAACAUGUUUUAAAUAUUUUAACCGGUGAAAUGUACGUUCCAUUAAAGACGAAUUGACUCAACAAAUAAAUCAGUUUUUUGUUUGGUAUCCAUGUAUUUAAUAUUAACACUCUUCAAUAUAUAUUUAAACAAUUAGAGUUGAUUCACUUUAUUCAAAUAGGAACACAAUUCCCCAAUAUUAUACCUUAAAAAUGAUAACAGUUAUUUUCAAUAAACUUAUAUUUACUUGUCCCAACUUUCAACAUAUGAUAAAUGUGUUGAUCUAGAUACCGAAUUAUUGUUAAGCCAUUGUUCACUUGUACUUGUAUUAUAAUUGUCUUUUUGAUAUUCGCACUGGUAGGUUGUUAUACUGUGGAUUCAUUUAUUUUCGUGGGUAUCAAUUUUCGUGGAUUGAGAAAAACUUGUAUAUUCGUGGAUAUUUGAUUUUGUGGUUUUGUCAAUCUGUGCACACAAAGCCAUAGAAAAUUUGUAAUUCGUUGAACAUUUGAAUUCGUGGUUCACUUAUACUCACGAAACCCACGACAAUUGAUAUCCAACGAAUAAUAAUGAAUCCACAGUAUUUCUGAAUUGCCAUUAUCAGUUGGAGUGGCUGUUGGUCGUCCACCCUUUGUUAUUCUGUUAUUUACAAUUUCUUCAGCAUUCCCAUUUUCGGCUUGAUUCUGACAGUUCUGCUUAGAAUAUUUCUAGGGUAGAACUGAUCUAGGUAGUAUAAAAAAGAAGAUGUGGUAUGAUUGCCAAUGAGACAACUAUCCACAAAAGACCAAAAUGACACAGACAUUAACA
rnacentral:lncRNA from 1 species